AGAGUUUGAUCAUGGCUCAGAUUGAACGCUGGCGGUAUGCUUAACACAUGCAAGUCGAACGGUAACAGGCCUUCGGGCGCUGACGAGUGGCGGACGGGUGAGUAACGCGUAGGAAUCUGCCUCAUAGUGGGGGACAACUUGGGGAAACUCAAGCUAAUACCGCAUACGCCCUACGGGGGAAAGCGGGGGACCUUCGGGCCUCGCGCUAUGAGAUGAGCCUGCGUUAGAUUAGCUAGUUGGUGGGGUAAAGGCCUACCAAGGCGACGAUCUAUAGCUGGUCUGAGAGGACAAUCAGCCACACUGGGACUGAGACACGGCCCAGACUCCUACGGGAGGCAGCAGUGGGGAAUAUUGGACAAUGGGCGCAAGCCUGAUCCAGCAAUACCGCGUGUGUGAAGAAGCCUGAGGGUUGUAAAGCACUUUCAAUUGGGAGGAAAACCUGCCGGUCAAUACCCGGCAGCUUGACAUUACCUUUAGAAGAAGCACCGGCUAACUCCGUGCCAGCAGCCGCGGUAAUACGGAGGGUGCGAGCGUUAAUCGGAAUUACUGGGCGUAAAGCGUGCGUAGGCGGUUAUUUAAGUCAGAUGUGAAAGCCCCGGGCUUAACCUGGGAACUGCAUUUGAUACUGGGUAACUAGAGUUUAGUAGAGGAGAGUGGAAUUUCAGGUGUAGCGGUGAAAUGCGUAGAGAUCUGAAGGAACACCAGUGGCGAAGGCGACUCUNUGGACUAAAACUGACGCUGAGGUACGAAAGCGUGGGUAGCAAACAGGAUUAGAUACCCUGGUAGUCCACGCCGUAAACGAUGUCAACUAGCCGUUGGGCCUUUUAACAGGCUUAGUGGCGCAGCUAACGCAUUAAGUUGACCGCCUGGGGAGUACGGCCGCAAGGUUAAAACUCAAAUGAAUUGACGGGGGCCCGCACAAGCGGUGGAGCAUGUGGUUUAAUUCGAUGCAACGCGAAGAACCUUACCUACCCUUGACAUCCCAGAGAAUCUGUUAGAGAUAGCGGAGUG
rnacentral:rRNA from 1 species